ACUUGCGGCAACAAUGGCAAAAGGAAGUGUAGUAUCUUCCUUCGUUAAUUCAUUGAUUUUUCGUUUUCUUUUUCUCCUUUUUCUCAUAUUAGUUUCGUCUAGGGAAAAAGGAGGACGAAGACGUUAUAAUUUUGUUCUCAUCCCUACAGUUUUCCUCUCAAUGUAUGUAAUUUUUCUUGUUUUUGUUGUGCUUUAUUAUCCAAUAUUAGAAGAAAAAAAAGAUAAUUUUGUGUAAAGUUGUUA
rnacentral:misc_RNA from 1 species